GGCAGCUUGGCCGAGUGGUUAUGGCGCAGGUUUUAGGCACCUGUUUCUUUGAUUCGUGGGUUCGAAUCCCACAGCUGUCA
rnacentral:tRNA from 1 species